rnacentral:rRNA from 1 species
UGUUUGAUUCAGGAGAUGGGAACUGGGAGGAGGCUUGGGGCAGGAACCAGGCAUAGAGGACUAUGGUACAUGGAUCGCCGGGAGGAUGUGAAGACUGCUGGCAUGGCUCUUGCUGCGAGUGCGACAGAGAAGGAAACAUUAGCUAUGAUCCACCAUUGUAGGUUUGGACAUGUUUCUUUUGAGAAAAUGAAGAAAGCUUUCCCUGAUGUAAUGAAUGGUUUAGAUAAAACCAAGUUA